rnacentral:rRNA from 1 species
GACGAACGCUGGCGGCGUGCUUAACACAUGCAAGUCGAACGAGGUGCUUGCACCUAGUGGCGAACGGGUGAGUAACACGUGAGCAACCUGCCCUUGGCUCUGGGAUAGCCUCCGGAAACGGGGAUUAAUACCGGACAGGACCUUCGCGGGCAUCUGCGGGGGUGGAAAGUUUUUCGGCCAGGGAGGGGCUCGCGGCCUAUCAGCUUGUUGGAGGGGUAACGGCCCACCAAGGCGACGACGGGUAGCCGGCCUGAGAGGGCGACCGGCCACACUGGGACUGAGACACGGCCCAGACUCCUACGGGAGGCAGCAGUGGGGAAUAUUGCGCAAUGGGGGAAACCCUGACGCAGCGACGCCGCGUGCGGGAUGAAGGCCUUCGGGUUGUAAACCGCUUUCACCAGGGACGAAGCGAGAGUGACGGUACCUGGGGAAGAAGCGCCGGCUAACUACGUGCCAGCAGCCGCCGUAAAAC